rnacentral:lncRNA from 1 species
GCAGUGAUAAGCACGGGAGGAAAUACUGUAUCAAAAAGGAGCUCACACAACCGAAAGCUUGUGCAAAUUAUUUUUAAUGAUUCUUCUCUGAGAUACCAGCUGAGGCUAUAAAAAGGAGGCUGCUGUGUUUAUUUUGUCUACAGACUGCCCAAUGGGAUGAAGUUUCCAGUGUGAUGUCAUUGGAAACAUUGCUCCUCAGAGCAGUGAAAUUAGCCCGAAAGAAGAGGAACAUGGAGCCUCACUUUCCAAUCAGAACAUUCUGGAAGCAACUUGCCCAAGUACACCCUGUCAGUCCAUUUCCCAGUUGAAGAAUUUCCGCAGGCUGGGAUCUGGGAAGCUGUGGACUGACCCAGAGUUGCCCUAUUAAAUGCAUUUGCGACUUUGAGCUGAAGAAUAUUUGCUGAAAGCUGGAUUACCACUUGGUAGACCACCAGCAGCUGUUGAAAAGCAGUGCAUAAAAGCUUGUUUAUGUCUUUAAUGGCCCACUUAAUUGAUGAAGCAAGUAUGUUCUUCAUAAUAAAAUGCCAAGAAAUAAUCUUAAUACCCCAAUGUAUGCCACCAGUGAAUUAAGAAACAUCUGCUGUAAUGUAAAAG